rnacentral:rRNA from 1 species
ACUUUCGAUGGUAGGAUAGAGGCCUACCAUGGUGGUAACGGGUAACGGGGUGUUAGGGCACGACACCGGAGAGGGAGCCUGAGAAACGGCUACCACAUCCAAGGAUGGCAGCAGGCGCGCAAAUUACCCAAUCCCGACACGGGGAGGUAGUGACAAUAAAUAACAAUACGGGGUUCUUUCGGACUUCGUAAUUGGAAUGAGUACAAUUUAAAUCUCUUAACGAGGAACAAUUGGAGGGCAAGUCUGGUGCCAGCAGCCGCGGUAAUUCCAGCUCCAAUAGCGUAUAUUAAAGUUGCUGCAGUUAAAAAGCUCGUAGUUGAAUUUCGGGACCAAUAUGUCGGUCGUGCCUCGGUACGUACUGGCAUCGUUGGUUUCUCCCUUCUGAAGAACCAUGAUGUCAUUUAUUUGGUGUCGUGGGGAAUCAGGACUGUUACUUUGAAAAAAUUAGAGUGUUUAAAGCAGGCUCACGCUUGAAUACAUUAGCAUGGAAUAAUGAAAUAGGACGUUUGAUUCUAUUUUGUUGGUUUCUAGGAUCGACGUAAUGAUUAAUAGGGAUAGUUGGGGGCAUUAGUAUUCAAUUGUCAGAGGUGAAAUUCUUGGAUUUAUUGAAGACUAACCACUGCGAAAGCAUUUGCCAAGGAUGUUUUCAUUAAUCAAGAACGAAAGUUAGGGGAUCGAAGACGAUCAGAUACCGUCGUAGUCUUAACCAUAAACUAUGCCGACUAGGGAUCGGAUGAUGUUAAUUUUUUAAUGACUCAUUCGGCGCCUUACGGGAAACCAAAGUGUUUGGGUUC